GGCUAACUCCACUAAGGUUGCCGCUCAUUCGGGAAUUCACAGGAUGUCCUGAUUUCUGUGGGUCUCUCCCAGUGGGCAGUUAAGUCGCCCAAAUCAUUUUGGAUGCCAUAUUUCAUCAGCAUGAUGUAACGGUGUUGGGUCAAGGCCUGGAGAUACAAACAUCAUAGUUAUUCUAGGAACAGGUUGGAUUUAGGGACCGAAAGCUAACCUAAGUGGGGGGACACCAAAACCCUCCUUCCCUCCUGCGGCUGUUGCAGCUCUUGAUCCAGGCUGAGGAGGAUGCAAAGCAGUACCUGUUCAGAUGAGCCCGCUGCUGGGAGAUCCCACUCUGAUAUUAAGUAAGAGCUGUGCAUGGAUUUCGUUUUCAUGAGAGUGACACACCAACAGGACUGGCACCAGUCAGGGUCACAUAUGUUGGAACAUGUUUUGCCCUGGCUUUCUCUGCAAACAGGAAAUAACAGUUCUGCUGCAGCCCUGUGGUAUGAAAGCUCAUUACCAGGAAGAACUUCAGUGCAGUUAACAUCUCGUCAUACACUUCUCUCGUCAGGAUGGUGGGCCUUGGUCAGCGUUUCCCUGGAGCGAGCAGGUUUCUCAAAGCUGCGCUUAGUGACAGGGUGAAUACAACCUUUGCCAGCGCUCAUUUUUUGAUACUUGUGAGCUGUUUUCUCCUGGGUCCUGCCAAUUCUGGUUCUUUUCCCCAUGUUCCACUAAGUUCUCCCUGUAUCCCCCUACACUGGAGGGAACAUUGGCUCCUCCCCAUCCCCUCCAGAGCCCCGAGGAUACACCGGGGUGAAAGUAACUUAAAGGACUUACUGCUACGCC